rnacentral:rRNA from 1 species
GUAGGUGGCAAGCGUUGUCCGGAAUUAUUGGGCGUAAAGCGCGCGCAGGCGGUUCUUUAAGUCUGAUGUGGGAAGCCCACGGGCUCAACCGUGGAGGGUCAUUGGAAACUGGAGAACUUGAGUACAGAAGAGGAAAGCGGAAUUCCACGUGUAGCGGUGAAAUGCGUAGAGAUGUGGAGGAACACCAGUGGCGAAGGCGGCUUUCUGGUCUGUAACUGACGCUGAGGCGCGAAAGCGUGGGGAGCAAACAGGAUUAGAUACCCUGGUAGUCCACGCCGUAAACGAUGAGUGCUAAGUGUUAGGGGGUUUCCGCCCCUUAGUGCUGCAGCUAACGCAUUAAGCACUCCGCCUGGGGAGUACGACCGCAAGGUUG